CGUUCGAAAAAGAUCACAAAGGUGGCCUGGCGGCAUUCGGAAACGCAUGCUAUUGUUCGUAUCAUAUUCGCAGUAAGUUUCGUGGUCAACGUAUCGCAAAAUAAAGCGAAUUUAACCCCGCAGCGUUUCGCAACGGAAGUGAUCAGCCACUGGGAAGCAUAUUGAAAAUCGGAGACAACGCGGAACAAUAUCCCAGAUUUUUACCAACGUAAAAUUCGUACAGGAUCCUGCAUUGGGUGUUUCGUGAUGAUGAUGCAGAACGAGUCCACUCCGGUCAUGACCUCGGAUGCGGGAUGUCAAACGACCGGCAGUCAAUUUUAUGUGGUAAAUUUUAAUGCUCCCGAUGCUUCGGUUGAGAAUGCCUUGCCAGAUUCGGACUGUGCGAUGGAACGCAGCUUGGCGAUAAAUGGUGACAUGAUAGCAGCGCA